AUUGAACGCUGGCGGCAGGCCUAACACAUGCAAGUCGAACGGUAACAGGAAGCAGCUUGCUGCUUCGCUGACGAGUGGCGGACGGGUGAGUAAUGUCUGGGAAGCUGCCUGAUGGAGUGGGAUAACUACUGGAAACGGUAGCUAAUACCGCAUAAUGUCGCAAGACCAAAGAGGGGGACCUUCGGGCCUCUUGCCAUCGGAUGUGCCCAGAUGGGAUUAGCUUGUUGGUGGGGUAACGGCUCACCAAGGCGACGAUCCCUAGCUGGUCUGAGAGGAUGACCAGCCACACUGGAACGGAGACACGGUCCAGACUCCUACGGGAGGCAGCAGUGGGGAAUAUUGCACAAUGGGCGCAAGCCUGAUGCAGCCGUGCCGCGUGUAUGAAGAAGGCCUUCGGGUUGUAAAGUACUUUCAGCGGGGAGGAAGGGAGUAAAGUUAAUACCUUUGCUCAUUGACGUUACCCGCAGAAGAAGCACCGGCUAACUCCGUG
rnacentral:rRNA from 1 species